UAGGGAAUCUUCCGCAAUGGACGAAAGUCUGACGGAGCAACGCCGCGUGAGUGAUGAAGGUUUUCGGAUCGUAAAACUCUGUUGUUAGGGAAGAACAAGUAUCGGAGUAACUGCCGGUACCUUGACGGUACCUAACCAGAAAGCCACGGCUAACUACGUGCCAGCAGCCGCGGUAAUACGUAGGUGGCAAGCGUUGUCCGGAAUUAUUGGGCGUAAAGCGCGCGCAGGUGGUUCUUUAAGUCUGAUGUGAAAGCCCACGGCUCAACCGUGGAGGGUCAUUGGACACUGGGGAACUUGAGUGCAGAAGAGGAAAGUGGAAUUCCAAGUGUAGCGGUGAAAUGCGUAGAGAUUUGGAGGAACACCAGUGGCGAAGGCGACUUUCUGGUCUGUAACUGACACUGAGGCGCGAAAGCGUGGGGAGCGAACAGG
rnacentral:rRNA from 1 species